rnacentral:rRNA from 1 species
UACGUAGGGUGCAAGCGUUAAUCGGAAUUACUGGGCGUAAAGCGUGCGCAGGCGGUUGUGUAAGUCAGAUGUGAAAUCCCCGGGCUCAACCUGGGAACUGCAUUCGAUACUGGACGGCUAGAGUAUGAGAGAGGGAGGUAGAAUUCCACGUGUAGCGGUGAAAUGCGUAGAUAUGUGGAGGAAUACCGGUGGCGAAGGCGGCCUCCUGGUUCAAUACUGACGCUGAGGUGCGAAAGCGUGGGGAGCAAACAGG